UCAUCAGUUCAAAAGGCAGUUUGCACAUCUUGAGGAGCAUCAUAGUGAGAAGGAGAAAGAGGUUCUACACUGCAAAGAGAGCAUGCUUCUUUACCAAGGUACAACAGCCAUAAAACUGAAUAUUAUUUGGCUAGAACCUGAAAUGGCGGAAACUCUCAGGAAUCAUGGUGCAACCGUGCAUGGAUCACUUGUCUAAACUAGUUACAUCGUUGUGAUUAAGAAUAAGGAUCACCUGAUGGUUGUCUCCUAUUUUCUGUUGUAGUGCAAACCGUCUAAAGCUGACUGUUGGAUGGGGUUGGCAAAGGUGUGCUUGAAUAAGGAUCACCUGAAGGCGUGGAGUCCCUGGCUGCUGGUUGUUGUGUGUCCUGGCGGGCGGCAGUUUGAGUCCCCUGCAGGCAGUGGCGGCUGUAAUAUGUACUAGUAUAGGCAUGCAGACAACAAUUGGAAAUUGUAUGAUUCAUGUGAUCAUUUUCCUUGUAUUCUUUUCUAUUGUUGGUUAUAUAUCAGAUUUUAGAA